GUAACCUGGAGGAGAAGCGAGGAACCAGGCGCGCUGGCAUCUCACUCUGCUCCUGGGUGCUGGAGGACAGGCUGCACCGGCAGCCUCACCUACGACCCUGCUCCCAACCGACAGUGCCCAGGACCUGGGCCGCCGAGCUGGUGCACUAUGGCUUCGUCCACGAGUGUGAGGACUGAUCGGACCGAAGCUGGCCGCCUUCCUGGACAGCACCUUCCUCAAGUACCGCGGAGCUCAGCCGUGACCUUGAUCCCACCUCAGCGCUCCAGCUCCCCAGCCCCCCGGAACCAGACCUGGUGGCUCCCGUGGGGAAGCUCGGCAUUGGCCCCCGGCGUCUGGGUGGGGGACCAGGGGCCCCCUCUGCCUGUGUGCCUGCUAGUGAGGAACCUCCCCCCUUCCACAGCUCCCAGCAACCCUGCAGUGGGGCUGAGGGUGGUGGGGCAGGCCCGUCAGGGGGUGAGGGAGCCAGGGCUGUGGGGCUGGGGGGCUGGUUAGGCCCCGCAUGUCCUUAGGAUCAGGAUCCCCCCCAUCGGCCAGCUUCCACAACUCAGCAUCCCUCCCGUACCCUUCAUUUCCACCCCCGAACGCCAUCUGGUCAUGAGAGGCUGCCCUGCAGGGAAACGCGGCACAGUGCUGGGGGGCUGAGGGGUGGGGGUCAGCCCUGGACAGAUGUGUGCCCAGGGAAGCGCUCCAUUCCAAGUUGCUACCGCAGAGCCACACGAGGAACCGGAAUCGCCGCCUUAAACCCAUGGUAAACCACCUGCAGGUGUCAGGCGUGGUGCUGGGCACUGGGCAGGGCCACGGCCCUGCAGCUCCAUGUGGCUCUCACACCCCACCCCCCGGCCAGUGCAGACCCUCCAAAGGGCUAUUUUCUGUCCUUGUUCCCUGGCCUCGAGUGGUCAGGGUCAGGCACCCUCCCUGCUCCUCCCGAGCUCACCACUCCUCCUGCUACCUCUCUACCUCCGCCUGUGGCAGGCAGCUGCCUUCCUGGGUCCUAAGGCUACCAGCCCCAGCUCCCUGUCUCCCCCACCCCUACCCCCCAUAAACCCUAGCCUCCAUUCACUUGGACCACCUCCCUUUCAUUUUCAAAUGUAGUUGAUCACUCUUAAAGAUUUUAAAGUGCAUGUAUAAACUGAGCACAUUCAGGUUUCUAAGACAUUUCAAUGUCAAACAAGAAAAGCU
rnacentral:lncRNA from 1 species